rnacentral:rRNA from 1 species
UACAGAGGGUGCGAGCGUUGUCCGGAAUCACUGGGCGUAAAGGGCGCGUAGGUGGCAGGGUAAGCGUGCGGUGAAAGCCCGGAGCUCAACUCCGGGUCGGCCGUGCGAACUGCUUUGCUCGAGCACUGUAGAGGCAGGUGGAAUUCCGGGUGUAGCGGUGGAAUGCGUAGAGAUCCGGAAGAACACCGGUGGCGAAGGCGGCUGUCUGGGCCAGUUCUGACGCUGAGGCGCGAAAGCGUGGGGAGCAAACAGG